rnacentral:rRNA from 1 species
UGGUGGAGUGAUUUGUCUGGUUAAUUCCGUUAACGAACGAGACCUCGACCUGCUAACUAGUUGGCCGAAUCCUUGUGAUUCGCGUACGACUUCUUAGAGGGACUAUCGGUGCGUAGCCGAUGGAAGUUCGAGGCAAUAACA